rnacentral:tRNA from 1 species
UCCGGGGUAGCUCAGCGGUAGAGCAGUGGACUGUUAAUCCAUUGGUCCAGGGUUCGAAUCCCUGCCCCGGAGCCA